rnacentral:rRNA from 1 species
AACGAACGCUGGCGGCAGGCUUAACACAUGCAAGUCGAACGCCCCGCAAGGGGAGUGGCAGACGGGUGAGUAACGCGUGGGAACGUGCCCUUCGCUUCGGAAUAGCCCCGGGAAACUGGGAGUAAUACCGGAUACGCCGUAUUGGGAAAGAUUUAUCGGCGAAGGAUCGGCCCGCGUUGGAUUAGCUAGUUGGAGGUGUAAUGGACCCCCAAGGCUACGAUCCAUAGCUGGUCUGAGAGGAUGAUCAGCCACACUGGGACUGAGACACGGCCCAGACUCCUACGGGAGGCAGCAGUGGGGAAUCUUGGACAAUGGGCGCAAGCCUGAUCCAGCCAUGCCGCGUGAGUGAAGAAGGCCUUAGGGUUGUAAAACUCUUUCGCCGGAGAAGAUAAUGACGGUAUCCGGAGAAGAAGCCCCGGCUAACUUCGUGCCAGCCGCCGCCGUAACAC